rnacentral:tRNA from 1 species
CCGUGGAUAGUUUAGCUGGUAGAGCAUCAGACUUUUAAUCUGAGGGUCCAGGGUUCAAGUCCCUGUUCAGGCA